rnacentral:rRNA from 1 species
AUUGAACGCUGGCGGCAGGCUUAACACAUGCAAGUCGAGCGGGGGAAAGUGCUUCGGUACUGACCUUAGCGGCGGACGGGUGAGUAAUACUUAGGAAUCUGCCUAUUAGUGGGGGGCAACAUUUCGAAAGGGAUGCUAAUACCGCAUACGCCCUACGGGGGAAAGCAGGGGAUCACUUGUGACCUUGCGCUAAUAGAUGUGCCUAAGUCGGAUUAGCUAGUUGGUGGGGUAAAGGCCUACCAAGGCGACGAUCUGUAGCGGGUCUGAGAGGAUGACCCGCCACACUGGGACUGAGACACGGCCCAGACUCCUACGGGAGGCAGCAGUGGGGAAUAUUGGACAAUGGGGGGAACCCUGAUCCAGCCAUGCCGCGUGUGUGAAAAAGGCCUUAUGGUUGUAAAGCACUUUAAGCGAGGAGGAGGCUUACCUAGCUAAUAUCUAGGCUAAGUGGACGUUACUCGCAGAAUAAGCACCGGCUAACUCUGUGCCAGCCGCCGCGGUAA